rnacentral:rRNA from 1 species
AGAGUUUGAUCAUGGCUCAGAACGAACGCUGGCGGCAGGCUUAACACAUGCAAGUCGAACGCCCCGCAAGGGGAGUGGCAGACGGGUGAGUAACACGUGGGAACAUGCCCAAAGGUACGGAAUAUUCUCGGGAAACUGGGAGCAAUACCGUAUGUGCCCGAAAGGGGAAAGAUUUAUCGCCUUUGGAUUGGCCCGCGUUGGAUUAGCUAGUUGGUGGGGUAAAAGCCUACCAAGGCGACGAUCCAUAGCUGGUCUGAGAGGACGACCAGCCACACUGGGACUGAGACACGGCCCAGACUCCUACGGGAGGCAGCAGUGGGGAAUCUUGGACAAUGGGCGCAAGCCUGAUCCAGCCAUGCCGCGUGAGUGAUGAAGGCCCUAGGGUUGUAAAACUCUUUCGUGGGGGACGAUAAGACGGUACCCCCAGAAGAAGCUCCGGCUAACUUCGUGCCAAGAGCCGCGGUAAUAC